ACUGUAUGGGCCUACAGGGCACAAGCCCAGGGACCCAAAGUGUCAGUGGCCCCCCUGGCCUUCACCUGCAAAAUGUCUUUUUAAAGGUAAGGACCGGGAAGAGACUCGGAAUGACCACAAAUAGAUACAAAAAGAGCAAAAGAGAUGCAAUGGAACUGCAAAGAGACACAAAAUAACCUCAGAAACAGACAAAACAAUAACAAGAUUUCACAAAAUGAGUACAAAGUGACAGGAAAUGUCCAAAAAUGCACAAAAUGAUCUUAAAAAGACACAAAACGACCUCAAAGAGACUCAAACAACUACAAAAUGACAUAGAACCACAAAGAUGACUAGUAAUGACUAAAACAACAUUAAAAGACACCCUAAUCCUAAAGUGUCAUAAAAGACACAAAACCAAAAAAAAAAAAAAAAAACAAGAAACAAACAAACAAAAAUGAAACUAUGCAAAAACCAUGGGAAAGCUCCCAUGUUGGAGAGGUGUUGGGGCCCAUCUCACAUCUCACAAUCGGCCCGUGUGAACAGGGUUGAUUUAAUCUAUGUUAAUGUAGUUUUUUUUUUUUUGUUUUUUUAAAGUGUAAUAAGUAGACACAUUUUGCCCUCCAGUGUAAGCAAAAUUAAUCACACUGCUUUCUAUAACAGCCAGCAUAUUAAAUUAUAUCAAUAUCACCCCAUAUAUGCUAACAUUCAGUGUAUAUAUUUUCUCUUUCGCCAUUUUCAAAAUUUUUGAUCUCGCAUUAAACUCGUGUUCGCAAAUAUUUGGCAGUAGCCACGAUAUAAACUCAACCUACCAUCAUGCCUUGCGCGCCUACGUUGCCUGGGAGCAGCAUGUGCUGCGCUGCUCUGCUCCAACUAUGGCUCAUUGCGGCUCAAGCUCUCCACAGGAGCGCACCGUAUCGGCUACAGAGACGCUGCUUGGAGCUCCAGCAGAGACACCAUCACAGCGCUGGACCUCAAGGAAGAACCCGCUGCUUUUAUCGCUUAUUGGAAAUAAUCAACACUGAUGGAUUCGAUUGAAAACCAAAGCGGCGAUCGCUUUACGCAAGGAUACUUUGGACGCAUAUAAAGGAUUAAGCGCUGUCGUUACAACACUGACACACGUGGAGGAGUUAUUAUUAUUAUUAUUAUUUUAUUAUUAUGAUUAUUAUUGGCAAAGCUUUAUGAUGGCGACAGCCGAUGGAUUUAACUCUUUAGCAGUGACUCGUCCUGUUGGAUAUGAGGAAAUACUGCUUCUCACACGGGAUGAGUGGUGUCCAUUUCUCCUGCUGCCCAAGUCCUGUUGCUGGACAAGUCGUUUGCAGGACAGACGAGUCUCUUGGGAUACUUAGCGCGUGUGGCCAGUGUCAUAGAUGGGCAGUACCAUGAUUUUGGAAAUCGAUAUUUGUCGCUGUGGAUUUUGGCACAAGGAAUGGAAUAUCCUGGAUUAUAUUUUGAAAUCGAUGCUCAGCAGACGUCAAGCAGUUUGGAUAAUGACAUCUCAUCCAGCAGUGAAGGAAUCCAAAUUCUUGGAAUGAGAUGCCAACCUUUAAUUGCUUCCCAGGGAUCUUCUGAUCUCAGGUGAGAAACCCAGAAGAGGCUGAGUCAUUGAAACGCGAUCACAAGAGAUUCAACAGGAUCAGACUAAAUCCUGGUUUGGACUGUGGACCAGCAUCCCCUGCAGCAGAUGUUUGCUCCUGGCAUGGCUGCGAACAGUGUGAGCUCCAUUUCUGACAAUCUCACUCUCUGGGAUCCAGCGCCAGCAGCUUGGACUUUGGAGAAGCUAUGACAUAAACUCAGCGGGACAGCGGAGUGUAUUCUGCUGCUCAGACAUUAUGGAACAGAUCAGUCAACCCUGUCUGGUGAGGCACUCGAUAGGAAAGUGAACUUGAUGAAUGCACGUUUAGCGUAGUUGCCACAAUGGAUCUACACAUUGUUUGACUUUUUCUAAAUUGAACCUGGAUUAAUAUUUUCCCAUAUAUACAUCUGCUUUUCAUAUUCAGUGUUUAUUCACGCUGUUGCUCAUACACAGCAGUUGUGACAUGUACUGUGUUAUUCUGGAUACAGUAUCAACAAGCGCUGGAACUGUGAAUGGAAAAUAAUCAGAUGUUAUUUUCAUUUUUAGGUCUAUUUUUACAGACUGAAGGCAGCACUUACACUAGUGCAGUCAUAUCCACAGUUUAAAGACACGCUCCUAUUAUGUGAAAUUAGUUAAUGCUACUUAAAUCGCAAUAACUGUUGGAUUUCAAUAGUUAAUCACGAUGGAUCGCAUUUUUAAUUGCAUGUUUAAAAUUCCAUUAUUUUGAAAAUUAUAUUAGCAAAGGGAAGCAGUUCUUACCAGAGUGUUUUGAUUGGAAAUCAAAUGAAUACAAAGAAAUAUGAUCUUGACUUUUAGAUUUAUUUAUUACAAAUCAAUGCUGCAGUGCUACAACUGUGUGGUCUUGAAACCAUGAAUUGGAGGUAUGAGACAACUUCAAAAUGCUUAUUCUAUGAAACACAGUGUUUAUCAAACUGAGGACAUCCUUUAGACUUGAGUCUUCCCCGAUGUUGACUGGUCUGCAGUCAGUUUCCACCAAUUUAGCAAGCACUGCAAUUAUUUUCUUUCGAUUUAGUUUCAUCCACAGGUCUGCUGCACACUCCAAAAUAGUGCUUUGCUGGCUUUGCCGAUGUGGUGGCCCGCUGCGCUGACAUCAGUCUGAUUAGCUGAGUUUGCUCAGGUCACAUGUGGGAGCUAAAACUUGUAGUACUUUUGUGAUAUUUUAAUUUAGUUUCACACAAGAUACAUAUAACUUUUUAAUGGUCAGCGGAGCCCUCUGGGAGUUUUUUAAAGUGAACUGAGCCAUUCAAAAGCGCAGUAGUCUUGUUAUUUUCCAUCACUGUGGCUGCAAGAAACUGGAAGCAGCUGCAGCGGCUUGACCAGGGUGCGUCAAAGGGACAAAAUAGCAGCACACAAUUACCGUGAUUAAAAAAAAAACACUUUACAAUCACUGUAUUAAUGUGUGACAGCCAAACAUACUGUGUGUGAUCUUGAAUGUGGAGGCUCAUGCACACUUCAAAAACUGGACAGGUGUGUAGGAGGAAAUUGUUCAAUAGAUGAAAAAAAGAGAUUUAAUAUUCAACUUUAACCAAAACCAAAAAUUUGUUUACUCAAUAAUAAAGUUUAUGCAAGUAAAAGGACAGUGUGCAGUAAUUUUCUUUUUCUCCUUAAUACACAUGAUUAGAAUUUUUCAGGAACGGUACCGGAAAUGUGACUUUCUGACUUGACGUCUUCGAAUUGAGAUCACAAAGAAGCCAUUGUAAUCAAGGUGCUCAUGAAUGCAAACCAAAACCCUGUCUAUUGACAACGCAUUUCAUUGUAAGACAUUGGCAGUCUUUGCUGUUAUUGGUUAAUAAUCCUGUCAAGCUGUUUAUUCUCAUGAUGAUUUAUAGCUGCAAAACUUUUGUUGUGUCUGUGAAACCCUAUUAAGAGAAAUAAA